rnacentral:piRNA from 1 species
UGGCAAGUAUAUUGAAUAUGGCAGCA